GUAAAAGUGUAUAAAUAAUAAAAUGUAUGAUGGGCCAAAAUAAACUGAGUCUUUAGGCCCGUUAGCUAACUGCAUUUGAGACCUGAGUUUGAGCAUUUGAGGGAUCGAGGCCUGUUAGCUUUGCCGUGGUUUUCUAGAAGCCGCCGCUCAGUUUGCCGUGGUUUUCUAGCCUCUAGGAGAAGCCGCCGCCGCCCCCAACUGCAGGCUGCAGGCGCUGCUCCUUUCGCCCUCCGCUAGCGAGCGAAUCGCUGGCUCGAGGCGGCACUCCGGCUGGCGGGCGUCGGGCCGUCGGCUGCUGUCCACGGCUGUCGACAAGCAAGCACCGUCCAGCGUCCACCUCGGCACCUCCUGUUCGGCUGUUCCUAGCCGCUGGCUGAGAAGCUAAUUAGCCAAGACCCAAGAAGCGAGCAGGCAAGCAGCCACGAAGACGAAGGUAAGCACUUAGGCACUUAGCAGUUAGCACUAAACAGACAAGCGUAUAAGUAGAUUUGCAAUCUUGUAUGACUAAUAAAUAGAUUAGAUAAAUUUAUAAGUAGCUGAUAUGUUGAUGAUUAUUACUCCUCUUUGUUUAGAUAAAUGAGGAGAUUUUUUCAACCACUUUCAAGGGGGUCCGCAAUUGGUGGUCAGGAUAAUAAUAAUGCCAAUAAUGUCAAUAAUUAAUGGUUUGCUACACUGAGAAAGAGAUCUUCAAAUCCGUUGAUGAUGAGGUUAUUAUUCGACGAUUUCAACGUCUCAAAACUAGAAGGAUGCAAUUGCCUCGGUCAACAAGAACUUAACGGCAUGUUUGCUUUUUUUAUAUGGUUUUUUCUUUAAAUUUUGUAUCAUGUAUUGAUAUAAAACUUGAAUUUUAUGCGACAAUAGUUGUUUACGGUAUGGCUUGAUUUUAUCAUGUGAUUUUUUGGCCCACCCUGAAUUUUUGUCCUGCGUCCGCCACUGACCGUGUAUGGUUCGAGGAUGAGGCCUAUCUUCUCAUUCCUAAAAAAAAUUAUUUGUAGAAUGAAAUAAAUUGAUUCAUCACUAUUUCAUUCAUCACAUGCUAAUAAUUAAAAAUAAUAUGAAGAAUGAGUUCAUUCUACCAAACUUAGGGGGUAUGAUAUUUGGUUUAAUAAAUCACUCUAACAAAGUUAAUGUGGUACAUCAUGAGUUCAUUCCUCAAAUUUGGUGAGAUAACCACAUUCCUCGUAUUAUUACUAACUAGUAACUAUGAGAAAUGAGGUGGUGAUGCUUUAACUCAUUCCAUUCCAUAAAUUAAAUAAAAAGUGAGAAGUGAAAAGAUAGUGAACUAGCUUAUUUUUUAAAACCAAACAUCCUAUUAUAUAAUGGAUUUAUGAUGCAUCAUAUCACCAAACACCUCACUCGUAUACAAUAAUGAGAGUGGUGGACGUCUAAUAAGUCCCAACGAAGGUCUAGAUUUGGGCUUCUGGAUUUCCCAAGAUUUCUGGCCAUCAUCAUCAGAAAUAAAAGACCGCGACUUACGACGACGUUGCAACAAUAUCAGAGACCGAGCAAUUUCGGUCUCGAACACUCUGGUCGAGUCCUCCAUCCAGACUUGAACCAACCGACUAGUUUCAACUUUGAAGACAUACAUGCAUGUUCACGGUAUUUUUUUUUGGCGUCGUUUUCUUCUGUUUCAAAGCACGCGUUUGACUU
rnacentral:lncRNA from 1 species